GAAAAGGUCCAUGUGGUUCAAUUAUUAAAUGGCAACUUUACAUACAGAAGUUAUUAACUGGCAACCUUUCAUGCAAUUGUGAUGGACAAGUGAAUAUGAAUUUGAGAUGUCAACCAAUCAUUGUAUUCUUUCAUGUUUAUAUUGCUUCAAAUUCAAGAAACAAACUUAUUCGAAUUAAGUUUUGUAUUGCUACGUAAUUAUGAAUGAUUUCUAGAAAAUUGCAGUAUAUGAUAUAUGGCAGAAAAUUGCAGUCCUUAUUUGGUACGUGUAUUCACGAUAAUAAUUUUGGUUUGAAAAAAUCAUUUUUCUUCCGGUUAAUUGGCAAGUGGUACAUGCUCAAAUAACUAUAUUGGAAGAUAUGUGGAGAUUGCAAUAUUAUUAUUAUGAAAAGGCAUGUUGGGUGUUAACUUAUAUGGUUAAAUGGUUGAAGUUUUUGAAAUGAUAUUGCACAUGUUACAUAUAGGAAAAUUCUAAAGUGUUAGAAUUUUGUGAAAGGAGUUAUGUGAACUUUGAUAAUCAUUUCUUCUAUAGAAAUUGAAAAAUUAUAUGUGAUUGGUUGGAAUUUAUACUAACUUUGGUUUAUGGUGAUAGCCUCAAUUAAUUAUAUGCAAUUAAACGAGAUGAUCUUAUGCAAAAACGUGUUUACAUAGAAAUGUGAUUUUGAUAAACUACGAAUAAUGUGAACAUGUAUCUUACUAUUUGAUGUAACAUGAUGAUAUCUUGUGAAAGUGAUAAAUUGCAAACAAUUGGAGAUUAAUAUCCUUAGUCUCAUUCGUUGUUGAAUUGGACUUUAAUCAUGGAACCAACUGAGUUGGUUUGUGCUUGAAAAACAUUAAUAGUUUAUGAGAUGACCUUGAUAAAAUGUGUGAUCAAAAUCAAAGAUAGUUGGAUUGAAGGUCAUUGUGACUUAACAAACACUAUCUAAAAAGUACCUAAACUUUCACGGGUAUGUUCUAAGUGAUAAGCAAAUUGAACUAUAAAAGAGUUAAUAAACUCUAAGUUCAAGUAUAAUCCCAAAUAUGGGGGUUAUCAAUAACGCUUGUGAACUUACAUGAGAAGUUCCAGAUGUAAUAUUACAAUAUUACAUAAGAAUUCCUAAUUAAGGAAUUGUGAGGGUAACUUAAUAUAAAAGUAAAGAGUCCCUAAACCUUUUAAUCUUAGAAAUAUAUUUAUGAAGGAGACAAGGUGGAAAACUCUUAUAUAUAAUUAUAAGGAUGGACACACUAAAUCUAAGGUGAAUAAAUUGGGUGAAAACCAAUCAUGGCACUUACUAAACCAAUUGGAAUAUUUAAAUAAAUUUCACAAACUGAAUACCCAUUUGCGAAAUCCACAAAAUUUGAAAUGAGUGACUAGUGUAUUGACUGAUAAAAUUCUUCCAACUGUAUUUGGAAAUCUAUAAGCUUUGAAUAAAGCUAAGUGAAAGAAUUCUUGGUGGUGACACGUUGUAUAUAACAAAUGAAUUAUUGGCUAGCUAUGUUUGAUAAGAUACUAAGUCAUAUAUAAUGGAAGUCUAAACAUAUAAGUCUUAGAAGUAACUUAAUAGGGAAAUUAUCAAAGAUAGAAUAAUUUCCAUAAAGACAUAGCGGAUACUUUAAACCACUAAAUAGAGUUUUAGUGGCAUCUACUUCGAGUUGGAUAGGGUUGAAACUCCUAAACUAUAAAGGUUCAUCAAUGACAGCAACCCUACCUGUCAUUACUCAAAAGGUAAAUUACGGGUUCAAAGGGUAACAAUAAGUCAUUUGAUAUGUGGAUAGUUGCAGCAUUAUUAAAAUUCGCAAUAAUCUUAUCCUAAUUUAAAUAAUGCUGGUUAUUACUGAAAUGAGGGAUGAGUUUUAAGCUCUUAAUGAAGUUCAGUGCUAAAACACAAGUAUCUCUAAAAGUAAUAAAGGUACUGGAAGAACUUCACCUAAACAAAUUUCGAGGUGGUGUCGCCUCAAUAAAGAGUUGGAGUUUCUCUCUUAAAAGUUUGUUGAAAAAGAUGAACGCAAGGCCAUAUUAGCACUAAGCGAGUUAUGAGGAACUUGAGAACACGUAAUACUCGUGUGUGUAUUUUUACCAGUAUUGUCACAUGGAACAAUUGGUUCAAAGCUUCAUGCUACCUUUGAUUCCGACUUUAUUUUGUUUGAAUUUCACUAUGGUUAUAUUCAAAUCGAAAGAUAUCUAUCCUUACGCAUGAGUAUUGUAUAAUUUGAUUAUGAGAGUUUAUUAAAAUUUUGAACAAGUGAGAGAUUGUUGAAAAAUGUUGUUCAAAAUCAAUAAACAUGUGUGUGGAAUGAAAGAGAAAUGAAAUGGAAUGAAAAAAACCCGAAACGAUGGCUCAUUGUGUGUGCUAUGUGACCGUAUGGCAGAUUGGCCAUGUGGUCGCAUAGCCUAAGGCAAGAAAUCUGGGGUCGUGAUGCUGUUGAACCAUGCGACCGUAUGGUGUUGUACCAUGCGGUCGCAUGGUACUUAGAAAAUGGCCGUUGGAGGCCUUUAAGAUUUAAAUUUUUUGGCGAUUUUUUCACAACUCUUCAAUAUUUUGGCACCAUUUCAUGGGAUAUUAAUCCAAAUCUAUAAAUAGGUGAUGGAGGGAUUAAUACAAACAUUGAAAAUCAUAUUACAAACAUAUGAGAAACAUUAUUUUCAUUCCACAAAAAGGACCAAACAUCAUUUCUUCCAUAUUCAAUUCUUCCCUCUUGUGUUCUUCAAGUUCGGGUAGAAAAUUAUUUAUGCUUUUGUGAUUUUCUACAACAAGGCUUGAUAAAUCCUUCAAAUCGUUUACCGCGAGACCCUUUAAGCACCAAAAUUGUUACUGAGAGAGGACAAAUAUCGAUUGAGGACAACGAUGUAAUGUCGUGUUUGAGCUUUUCAUUUUCGAUUUGUUCCUCACGUUUAUUUCAUCUUCUUGAAAUCACUUCUAUAUUGUUUCUUCUCCAAAUUCGGUGGUGAUAACUACCCAACACCCUCAUCCAAGAUAAGACCACCUCGGAACUUGAUUUUUUCUUUUUUUCCAUCUUAAGUCUCGAGGUGGCCUCGGAGAGGAUGGGCCACCCGAUGACAUUAUAACUCUCCAUUCGACGUACGGUCGCCACCUAAAUUUUUCUCCUUUUAGCGGGUUAACACUAGCAUUUCAAUGGCCAAUAGAUUUUAAAGUUAGGCUCAUUGCUGAGCUCAUGUUUGGUUUUGAUUAAAAUUCGAUUUUAAUUUAAGUCAAAGUCAAAAAUCAAUAUUAACCACGUCUUUUAUGGAUUCCACAACUUUUUAACCAUACAAUUCAAUAACUUCUAUCACAAUUUAUUAAAAAAAUCUAAUUUUAAUCCACCACCAAACUUCUUCAUAAAACUCUUUAUAAACCCUUUGUAGUGCCAUUUGCGUCAAUUUCCCCCAACUCAAGGGCCUUUCGAAGUGGCCCAUAUAUUUAAAAAUCAGGCAUUCAAUCCCUCCGCCAAAACCUCCCCCCCCCCCCCCCCAAAACAUCAAAGGUUUGGUUUGGAGUCAGAAAAUAGGAAAAAUGGCAUGCAACUCAGCAACCAGGGCGUCCUUUUUAGAAUAGCCAAGUCAAACCACCAAAUUUUCACAUUGACCAACUUUUUUUUGUCAUUCACCAAAAGGGUUUUUUGAAGAGUAAAUGUCAUUUUUGCCCUUAUUUUGUGUUAUAAUUACAAAAAUAUAUCAUUUGCUCAAAAGACAAUAAUACCCUCUUUAAAAAAAUUAAUAAAUCCAAACAAUCUUACUUAAAUAUCAAAACGAAAUCACUUUCCUUAUCAGAUUUUUCAACACAUUUAAAAAGAAAUUUCCUCUUCCAUCUGCUUGAACAUUGAAAUCUCAAAAAAUUAUCAAAAGCUCAACAAAAAAAUAUUACUCACAGUCGGUACUUUAAAUUGGUAAGUAUAAAUACGUAUGUUUAAUUUUAUUUUAGUUAAAUUUGUACAUUGUUUGAAUAUUUAAAUUUUAUUUCAACAUAUAAUUUUAGAAAAAUGAAAUAUUACAGUUUUAAAUGGAUGUAUAAUUUUUUUUUAGCAAAAAUGAGGAAAAAAAUUCAUCUGUUCAGAUGUAAAAUAUAAAAGACAGCCAGCCAAAAAUGUGUCCGGGCUGGAUGUUUUACAGCCUGCCUGGAUCCGGGCCGGAUGUUACAUGUCCUUUUUCUUUUUAUUAUUUUUUAUUUUUUGUCCUUGUGUCAUAUUUAUUUUCGUCAUUUUAUUCUCGUAAUUACAAUUUUUUAAUAAAUGAUGUUUCCUAAUGCAGAUAUGGGAUCAACUGCUGUCUCCAUUUGUUACUUUGGUGAAUUUGAAAAUAAUGACAAUGGUCAAUGGGUGUGGAAAUGGACGAGUGAAAGACAUGGUUGUACUGCAAUUAUAAUAACAUCCAUUACAUCAUAUGUAGAAAUGUACAAUGAGAUACAGAACUUGUUGAAAGUCGAUCCCUCUUAGUACGCCAUGGAAUUGGGAUUUCUAAUGGGCGAGAAUACAUUCAUUUCAAUUUCACCUAUAACGGUUACUUCUGAAAUUGAAAUGAAGGUUUAAUUGAAAUGAACCAGAAACGUGCGAUUCCUAUUUGCGUAACUUUGAUAAAGAAAAAUGUCCCUGAGAGUGAACAGGAAGAUUUUGAUGGAGGGGAUCGUAAUGUGAAUGAGUUUUGAGACACAGUGGAAAUAGUGCGUGAUGAUGCUGUAGCUGUUCUAGAGACAGUUGCUCAUCACCAUGAUCUCACUGUUACACACAGAAUUUGCUCAAUAGUUCGAGACAAUGAAAGAGAUAAUGACUUUACAAAUGAGAAUUUGAUUGUCUUAUCCCGUUUGAAACAUGCGUCAACUGGGAGCUCACAGGCUGGACCGAGUACACGGUCCUCUAAUUGUUCGCGUAUAGUCCCCGAUGAUGAUGAUUUGUAUGUCGAGCAACUGUUUGGCACGAAGAAAGAUUUGCAAGAAGCUGUUCACCAGAUUGCUUUGAAACACAAUUUUGAGUUUAAAGUGAAGAAAUCAAACAAGUCAACUUACACAAUUGUCUGCAUUGACGACAGUUGCCUUUGGCGUUUGUGAGCAACGAAAAUGGACACAAAUGAGUUCUUUGUGGUUCGUAAAUAUGCACGAGACAUACUUGCGAAGUGAGUAUUCGUUGAAACGAUCACAGGCAAGCCCGAUCAUGGUUCAUUGGUCGAGAAGUAAUGUACAAGUUUCAGGACCCACGAACAAUCUACAGACUUUUGGACAUUAUUAAUGAUGUUCGUCGAGAGUACGGGGUGGUCAUAAGCUGUCAGAAGGCUUGGAAGGCCAAAGAAUGCACAUUGGAGGACUUGAUGGGUUCGAAUGAGAAGAGUUAUACUAAAUUGGCCAGUUAUUAAUUUCAAUUGUUUAUUUAAUUAUUUAUUGAUUCUUUAUCUAAUGUGUAAUUAAUUAUUUAAUUCAAUUGUUUAUUUUUCAAUUUUUUAAUAUUGUUUAUUUAAUUAUUUAAAUUAUGAUUAUUGUUUAUUUAAUUGGUCAGGUUUUGCUAUAACAUGUGAAGAAUUAAUACUGAAUUGACAUUUUUUAUUGAGAAUGAUGACGAGAAUUACUUCAAGUAUUUCUUAUGGCCCUUGGACAAUGCGUUCGAGGAUUUUGAAACGCAAUGCGACCCUUAAUUCUAGUCGACGGUACAACCCUCAAGGCGAGAUACAUGGGCAAGUUGAUUAUUACAACGUGUCAAGAUGCUAAUAUCCAAAUUUACCCUCUUGUAUUCGGCAUAGUUGACGGAGAAAAUGAUUUGGCAAUGCGUUGAUUUUUCACAAAGUUGAGGAAAGUAAUUGGGGAUGUCGAGAACCCUGCAUUCGUAACCAACCGAUGGCAGUCAAUAAUUAAUGGUAUCAUCGAAGUCUUCCCCGAAGCACAUCAUGGUUAUUGUAUGUAUCAUAUACAAGGAAAUCUGAAGAUCAAGUAUCGAGGUAAGGGCAUCGUUACGUUGUUUAGGAGAGCUGUAGAGGCUUACAAUUUUCAAGAGUUUGAAAAGUUUAUGAUUGAAAUCGAAAGUAAAUCCUAUGAUGCAUAGGAGUAUCUGACGGAGAUGGGGAUUGAACAUUGGGCACGAUCACAUUUUCUAGAACGUCUAUACAACAUGAUGAUAUCGAACAAUGAAGAGUCGCUCAAUACCUUAUUUAAGAAGGAUCGAGAGUUACCGAUUCUCGCAAUGCUUGAGAACAUUCGUGAUAAGCUGCAACAGUGGUUUCAUGAUCGUCGUGAGGAAUCACAGAGUUGCACAAGUGUGCUGACCCUAGCUCAGGAAGAUAAACUCUUCAAGACUCUAGAGGAGGCAAGGAAGGUAUAUGUAGAAUCACUAGAUUAGUUUCGCUUCUCCGCGAGAUGUGCACGUAAUUUCGGAUACACCAUCAACUUGAAUGAUAACACGUGCACGUGUAGACAGUUUCAGUUGUAGAGUUUUCCGUGUACACAUAUAGUAGCGAUGGCUAUUUAUAGAUGAAUUCCACCACACACCUUAUGCAGUGCUUAUUACACGACUGGUUCUUGGAGAGCAGCAUAUGCCGAAACCAUAUUUCCUAUACCGAAUGAAGUCGAGUGGGAAGUUCCUGAUCAUAUUCUCUCAUUGAAUAACUUGUUGCCACCAGCAGUCGGCCCAUGUACUCCUGGACAUACACAUACGUCUAGAAUACCAUCGACUGAAAAAAAAUUUCGACCUCGUAAAUGCGACAGGUGCGGUGCAACAGAACAUAUUAUAAAAUACAAGUCAGACCCCUCUGCAUGAUAACGUAACAGAUAUAUAAUUGAAGUUUAUGUAACAUUAUUUAUAACAUUGAUAUUAAUUAUUCACGCAUAUUCUUAAUGUUAAAUAUUUAUGUUAAUUAUUAGAUUUAGUUUUUUUAUUUUAAUAAUUCAUUAAUUAGUUCGUAAUAUUUGAAGUUAAUCAUUUUUUAAAACUCAGUGCAUUCUCC
rnacentral:sRNA from 1 species